rnacentral:rRNA from 1 species
AGAGUUUGAUCCUGGCUCAGGAUGAACGCUAGCGACAGGCUUAACACAUGCAAGUCGAGGGGCAGCACGGGAGUAGCAAUACGAACUGGUGGCGACCGGCGCACGGGUGAGUAACGCGUAUGCAACCUACCUAUCAGAGGGGAAUAACCCGGCGAAAGUCGGACUAAUACCGCAUAAAACAGGGGCACCGCAUGGUGAUAUUUGUUAAAGAGAUUCGCUGAUAGAUGGGCAUGCGUUCCAUUAGGUAGUUGGUGAGGUAACGGCUCACCAAGCCGACGAUGGAUAGGGGAACUGAGAGGUUGGUCCCCCACACUGGUACUGAGACACGGACCAGACUCCUACGGGAGGCAGCAGUGAGGAAUAUUGGUCAAUGGGCGGGAGCCUGAACCAGCCAAGUCCGCGUGAAGGAAGAAGGAUCUAUGGUUCGUAAACUUCUUUUGCAGGGGAAUAAAGUGCAGGACGUGUCCUGUUUUGUAUGUACCCUGAGAAUAAGGAUCGGCUAACUCCGUGCCAGCCGCCGC